AUACGUAGGGUGCGAGCGUUGUCCGGAAUGAUUGGGCGUAAAGGGCGCGUAGGCGGCCCGGUAAGUCUGGAGUGAAAGUCCUGUUUUUAAGAUGGGAAUUGCUUUGGAUACUGUCGGGCUUGAGUGCAGGAGAGGUAAGUGGAAUUCCAGUGUAGCGGGGAAAUGCGUAGAGAUUGGGAGGAACACCAGUGGCAAAGGCGUCUUACUGGAAUCAACGUGACGCUGAAGCGCGAAAGUGUGGGGAGAAAACCGGAUUAGCUACCCUUGUAGCCCGGAUUGUAAGCGAUGAUUGCUAGGUAUAGGGGGUAUCGACCCCUUCUGUGCCGUAGUCUACAAAAUAAGCAUUACGCCUGGGGAGUACGUCAGCAAGGUUGAAACUCAAAUGAAGUGAAGGGG
rnacentral:rRNA from 1 species